rnacentral:rRNA from 1 species
UUACGGGGGGAACGCGAAGAACCUUACCUGGUCUUGACAUAUCUAGAAUCCUGCAGAGAUGCGGGAGUGCCUUCGGGAAUUAGAAUACAGGUGCUGCAUGGCUGUCGUCAGCUCGUGUCGUGAGAUGUUGGGUUAAGUCCCGCAACGAGCGCAACCCUUGUCCUUAGUUACCAGCGGGUUAAGCCGGGAACUCUAAGGAUACUGCCAGUGACAAACUGGAGGAAGGCGGGGACGACGUCAAGUCAUCAUGGCCCUUACGACCAGGGCUACACACGUGCUACAAUGGUAGGUACAGAGGGCAGCUACACAGCGAUGUGAUGCGAAUCUCAAAAAGCCUAUCGUAGUCCAGAUUGGAGUCUGCAACUCGACUCCAUGAAGUAGGAAUCGCUAGAAUCGCGAUCAGAUUGU